UACGUAGGAGGCAAGCGUUAUCCGGAAUUAUUGGGCGUAAAGAGUACGUAGGUGGCAACCUAAGCGCAGGGUUUAAGGCAAUGGCUCAACCAUUGUUCGCCCUGCGAACUGGGAUGCUUGAGUGCAGGAGAGGAAAGCGGAAUUCCUAGUGUAGCGGUGAAAUGCGUAGAUAUUAGGAGGAACACCAGUGGCGAAGGCGGCUUUCUGGACUGUAACUGACACUGAGGUACGAAAGCGUGGGGAGCAAACAGG
rnacentral:rRNA from 1 species